rnacentral:rRNA from 1 species
GAUAAACGCUGGCGGCGCACAUAAGACAUGCAAGUUGAACGGACUUAAUCGAAAUAUUUAUAUUUUGAAGCGGUUAGUGGCGGACUGGUGAGUAACGCGUAAGGAAACUGCCUAUUAGAGGGGAAUAACAGUGAGAAAUCAUUGCUAAUACCGCAUAUGCCAUAGAUAUCACAUGAUAACAGUGGGAAAGGAGCAAUCCGCUAAUAGAUGGCCUUGCGUCUGAUUAGAUAGUUGGUGGGGUAACGGCCUACCAAGUCGACGAUCAGUAGCCGGACUGAGAGGUUGAACGGCCACAUUGGGACUGAGAUACGGCCCAGACUCCUACGGGAGGCAGCAGUCGGGAAUAUUGCGCAAUGGAGGAAACUCUGACGCAGUGACGCCGCGUAUAGGAAGAAGGUUUUCGGAUUUUAAACUAUUGUCGUUAGGGAAGAGAAAGGACAGUACCUAAGGAGGAAGCUCCGGCUAACUACGUG